rnacentral:lncRNA from 1 species
AUAAGACCCAUUCCUGGGCAAUGGAGGGCAGAAUGUUUAGAGGUCCUGAUGAAAUACAUGACUGAUCUCUAGGUGAGAUAUAGGACUUCAUCUGUCUCACGUGUUCUUGGGAUCCAUGGUGGUAUCAGGACUGCUCUGGGCUGCUUGCUUUCACAGGGAUCGUGGAGGGUGGUGUGGUUUGCUUGCCAUGUGAACUCAAGUGAGUCAUUUCACGUCUCUGAAGCUGUUUCCUCAUGUAUGAAAUGGAACUCAAAAUCUCUACCCCGUCUACCUCUGAGGUUGUUUGUAGAACUGAGUCAGCAAAGAGAGAGAAGAUCUCUUAAAACUCUGGAAAUAUAAGGAUUCUCUAUUAUCAGGGGUUUUUGGAGGGAGAACAAGGAAGGUAUGUUGCUGUCUUCACAGAUCAACACCAACAUUUUCAAAAUCAAGUUGACACGUACAAAUUAAUAGUCCCAUCUUGAUAUGCUCGCUGGACAAGAACAAGCACAGACACUAAAGUACUGGCUGACCUGCUCACCCCUGCCCCAUCCCACUUCCUGCAAGUGCAUAUUUGUGGUUUUUGACAGCUUGCAUUGAGAAGUGAUCAGCUUUAAUUUUCUUUUUUUUUCCCGUACAGCCA